UUUAUUUAAAAAAUCAUGAUAAAGAAAGAUGAAUUUCAGGUGUUAUAGGUUCCGGUGAAGUAUACAGCGUCGGAUUUUUUUAUCAUAUUUAAAUGUAAAGAUCAACAUUGCUCUGCCACAGCCAAAGAACUAAACCACAGAAGAAGAAAAUAGACUUUAGCAUUAAGAUACUCAGUGAGGAUCAGGAUAAUAUCAGCCUGAUGUCUGCAGCUCAGAGUCAACACAACUCUCACAUAUUAAUCUCAGCACAGAAGUAAAAGAUGGAGAACUGACCUGAGAUCCUCCAGUCUGCAGUCUGGACUCUUCAGAUAAUCACUCAGCAGCUUCACUCCUGAAUCCUGCACAUCGUAGACACCCAGUUCCAGAUAUCUCAGAUGGGAGGGGUUGGACUUCAGAGCUGAGGCCAGAGAAGCCCAGCUGAUGUCUGACAACCUGCAGCGCUCCAGUCUGAAUAAAGAAUACAUGAUAUAAGUUUAGAAAACAACGUUCCUGCUUAAAAUAUUAAAGGUUUAAUAAUCUGUUUAUAGCUGGAUAAGUAGAGAAUGUAGAAGUGUAUAAAGUGGAAACUCCAAACAGGUUAAAAA